rnacentral:lncRNA from 1 species
GGAACCGAAGUAUGCACAGCCUCUUUAUUGCUAGAACCGCUAUAAUUUAAUAUUGAGCUAAUAAUUUGAGUUAAUAUUUAUAAAGCACUUAGAAAGAGCCCAGCACAUAGUAAUAGCUAUCUAAGUUUUCAUUGAAUAAAUAAGGCACUUUCCAGAUUGGUUGGGUGAAUUCUUAACCUAGUGACAAAAUACAGAAUCAAAAUACACAGCAAUCUAAAUUUUUUUUUACCUUGAUAAAGAUUUAGGAACUGUAGUGCUCUGUAUUUAUUCCCACAUUUCAAGUGUACCCUAUAUAGUCUCUUGUGCAGGUCUAAAAUUAUACUCAUGGUUCAGAAAUCAAUGUGCACAAUUAAAUAAUGAAAGAGUUCAAGUUUCAAGAGAUGAAUUCUCUUUCCUCUCUCUCCAAGUAACCACCACUAAAAAUGACAAACUCUAAAAAUCUCAAAGCACUCCUAGAUGUACAGCCGAAUGCUAAAAGUGUGGGAAUAAACAGAGACAAAUUCACUUGAAAAGAGACGGAAAGGGUUCAAAUCACAAGAGAACUUAAGGGAUAGCAAUGGCAUUAAAGUCUCAAGACACCAGGUCCGCUGACAACAGGUUGAUUCCCGUGCCCUCCACUCCCGAGGCCUCCUCCAUCCCUGAUCCUCGCAGGUGACCCGCAGCCACUUUCGACCUCAGGUUGGGGUCUCCCUCCCUCCCCGUUCCCAGCUCCUCUUCGCUCUGAAGGUGCGCACGGGUUAACACUGUCGGUCCACCGACACCACUCGGGCGUUUAGGAAUCAAAAAGCAGAAUCUGAAUCCACCACGGGGAGACAAAGACCACAAACUCUGAGUCGGGUGCUGAGGCGAGGGUAUUGCUUUUCCCCUUCCGACCAACUCGGAGGUUUCCGGGCGGAGGUGCGGAGAGCUGCCAGGGGACCCGGGAAAGUCACGUUUGCUCCGUGGAGCGGCGGCAGUCGAGGCCCGUGACCCCCCGCCGCGCCCCAUCUCACCCGCCCGGGGACCUCGGGCUGCGGUCCGGACGCGCGCGGCCCCUGCCGCCCGCCCCCGCCGUGGGUCGCCGCGGCCCCACACCUACCCGGCUCCGCGGGGCUCCUCCCGGCGCGGCGGGCGCGGAGCCGAGCGCACCCGCGCUUCCUCCUUCCCGGCAGGGCCGCCGGGCGCCGGCGUUUCCUCCCUGACGCGUCACGGCGGCAGGCGGCUCCUCCCGCGGAGGGCGCGGGCGGCCCGGAGACCGGCGGCGGGCAGUGCGCGGGGAAGGCGCCCGCCGCGGAAGCCGGCUGUCCGGCCUCUUCCCGGGGGACCCCUCCGAUCCCGGGCCGCAGCGCGAAGGCCGGCCCGCCUCUCCGUGUGCGCGAAGCUCAGGGACGCCGGGGGUCCUGUCUGGAGGCUCAGACUCCCCGGCGUUUCGCGCUGCUCAGUGUUAGCGACCUCUGCCCGGGGCCCGAGAGCCGCUUGGGCCAAGGCGCCCGGGGCCGGCCAGUGAAGACGACCCUGGUGUGGGCAAGGAGCAGGAGCGCUGGACCGCCGGAGGGAUCAGCGUCGCCCGAGGAAUGGCCUGGCGGACAUGUGGCUGGGGGUCACCUGGAAACUCAAGAGAAGUGAAAUAAGAUAAAGAGAGGUACAGAAGGUGAAUGGAGAACUAAGAAUUAUAUGAUUCAAUGGGUGUGGAGUAAAGUGGUCAAGAUUUUGAAGCAGAGUGUUUUGUUUUGUUUGUUUUUUGCCGCACAACACUACUGUAAUUUAAAUUUUAUCAGAUAUCACUUGAAGAUAGACUCAAACAACUAUUUAAAGAUUCCUAUAUGCGUAACGUGCUUCAGAUUUUGAGGCAAUUGUCUGCUGUACACCAUCUGAUUCCAGAGAAUUUGCUACAAAUCUAUGAACAAGUAAACUUCCAGAGCAGAGCUCUGCAGCCUGGGUACAGUGUUGGGGGAGGCAGACAGCUGGACUGAACCUGGGCUGAGAAGGACAGUGGAGGAAGAGAGCCC